rnacentral:tRNA from 1 species
GCGCCCAUAGCUCAGCUGGAUAGAGCAUCAGACUACGAAUCUGAGGGCCGCAGGUUCGAAUCCUGCUGGGCGCACCA